AGCAAUACACGAGUGGCAGACGGGUGAGUAACACGUGGGAACGUACCCUUCGGUUCGGAAUAACUCAGGGAAACUUGAGCUAAUACCGGAUACGCCCUUACGGGGAAAGAUUUAUCGCCGAUGGAUCGGCCCGCGUCUGAUUAGCUAGUUGGUGAGGUAACGGCUCACCAAGGCGACGAUCAGUAGCUGGUCUGAGAGGAUGAUCAGCCACACUGGGACUGAGACACGGCCCAGACUCCUACGGGAGGCAGCAGUGGGGAAUAUUGGACAAUGGGGGAAACCCUGAUCCAGCCAUGCCGCGUGAGUGAUGAAGGCCCUAGGG
rnacentral:rRNA from 1 species